rnacentral:rRNA from 1 species
UACGUAGGGUGCGAGCGUUACUCGGAAUUACUGGGCGUAAAGCGUGCGCAGGCGGUUCGCCAAGUCAGGUGUGAAAUCCCCGGGCUUAACCUGGGAAUUGCGCUUGAAACUAGCGGGCUUGAGUGUGGCAGAGGGGGGUGGAAUUCCACGUGUAGCAGUGAAAUGCGUAGAGAUGUGGAGGAACACCGAUGGCGGAGGCAGCCCCCUGGGUCAACACUGACGCUCAUGCACGAAAGCGUGGGGAGCAAGCAGG